UUUGCCUACGGGAGGCAGCAGUGGGGAAUAUUGGGCAAUGGGCGCAAGCCUGACCCAGCAACGCCGCGUGAAGGAAGAAGGCUUUCGGGUUGUAACCUUCUUUUCUCAGGGACGAAGCAAGUGACGGUACCUGAGGACUCAGCCACGGCUAACUACGUGCCCGCAGCCGCGGUAAUACGUAGGUGGCAAGCGUUAUCCGGAUUUACUGGGUGUAAAGGGCGUGUAGGCGGGGACGCACGUCAGCUGUG
rnacentral:rRNA from 1 species